rnacentral:rRNA from 1 species
GACGAAGGAUGCAAGCGUUAUCCGGAUUCAUUGGGUUUAAAGGGUGCGUAGGCGGACUGAUAAGUCAGUGGUGAAAUCUCUUUGCUUAACAAAGAAACUGCCAUUGAUACUGUCGGUCUAGAGUAUAGAUGACGUUGGCGGAAUAUGACAUGUAGUGGUGAAAUACUUAGAUAUGUCAUAGAACACCGAUUGCGAAGGCAGCUAACGAAACUAUAACUGACGCUGAGGCACGAAAGUGCGGGGAUCAAAACAGG